rnacentral:tRNA from 1 species
GCGGUGAUAGUUCAAAAGAAGAAUGCGGGGUUGCCAUCUCCGCGAUCCGGGUGCGAUUCCCGGUCACCGCU